rnacentral:rRNA from 1 species
UUGUAUAAACAAAACUAUUCGCCAGAGUACUACCGGCAAUAGCUUAAAACUCAAAGGACUUGGCGGUGCUUUAUACCCUUCUAGAGGAGCCUGUUCUAUAAUCGAUAAACCCCGAUAAACCUCACCAUUCCUUGCUAAUCCAGUCUAUAUACCGCCAUCUUCAGCAAACCCUAAAAAGGUACAAAAGUAAGCACAAUCAUAAUACAUAAAGACGUUAGGCAAGGUGUAACCUAUGGAAUGGAAAGAAAUGGGCUACAUUUUCUAAUAUAAGAAAAUCCACUACGAAAGUUAUUAUGAAAUUAGUAACCAAAGGAGGAUUUAGCAGUAAACUAAGAAUAGAGUGCUUAGUUGAAUUAGGCCAUGAAGCACGCACACACCGCC